CUCAAAUUUUUUUUUCCUCAAAAAGUGUUUUCAAAUUUUUUUUUCGUUUCCUUAUUCGGUUUCUUUUUCCUUAUUCGAUUUUCAUUUCCUUAUACAGUUUCUAUUUCCUUAUUCGAUUUCCAUUUCCUUAUUCGAUUUUCAUUUCCUUAUUCGGUUUCUUUUUCCUUUUUCAAUGUUCAUUUCCUUUUUCGGUUUCUAUUUCCUUAUUGGAUUUUCUUUUCCUUAUUCGAUUUCCAUUUCCUUAUUCAAUUUCCAUUUCCUUAUUCGGUUUCUUUUUCCUUUUUCAAUGUUCAUUUCCUUUUUCGGUUUCUAUUUCCUUAUUGGGUUUCUAUUUCCUUAUUGGAUUUUUCGUUUCCUUAUUCGAUUUCCAUUUCCUUAUUCGAUUUCCAUUUCCUAAUUCGGUUUCUUUUUCCUUUUUCAAUAUUCAUUUCCUUUUUCGGUUUCUAUUUCCUUAUUCGGUUUCUAUUUCCUUAUUCAGUUUCCAUUUCCUUAUUGGAUUUUCAUUUCCUUAUUGGAUUUUCAUUUUAUUUUUUCCUUAUUCGGCUACUUUUUCCUUAUUCGGUUUCUAUUUCCUUAUUCAGUUUCCAUUUCCUUAUUGGAUUUUCAUUUCCUUAUUGGAUUUUCAUUUCCUUAUUCGGUUUCCAUUUCCUUUUUCGAUAUUCA
rnacentral:lncRNA from 1 species